rnacentral:rRNA from 1 species
AACGAACGCUGGUGGUAGGCUUAACACAUGCAAGUCGAACGAGAUUUAUUUGUGUUUACACAAAUAAUGAUAGUGGCGCACGGGUGAGUAACACGUGGGAACAUACCUUGAAGUGGGGGAUAACUUUUGGAAACGGAAGCUAAUAACGCAUACUCCCUGAGGGGGAAAGAUUUAUCGAUUUAAGAUUGGCCCGCGGAAGAUUAGGCAGUUGGUGAGGUAAAGGCUCACCAAACCUACGAUCUAUAGCUGGUCUGAGAGGACGAUCAGCCACACUGGAACUGAGACACGGUCCAGACUCCUACGGGAGGCAGCAGUGAGGAAUAUUGGGCAAUGGGGGCAACCCUGACCCAGCCAUACCACGUGAGUGAAGAAGGUCUUCGGAUUGUAAAGCUCUUUCGGAUGUGAAGAUGAUGACAGUAGCAUCUAAAGAAGCACCGGCAAACUUCGUGCCAGCAGCCGCCGUAAAAC